rnacentral:sRNA from 1 species
ACUCUAUAUACUAUACGGCGUGUAGAGAAGAACCACAAAAAUGAAAAUUCACUUAUUUUUGUUGAUAUGCAGCCAAUUUUUAUGUAUCCAUUCACUAAUAUUGAGGCCAGUAGGACGACAUGGACUGAGAAGAAUUGAUAGUUUGUUGAGGCCCGUACAAAUGAUCAGACUAGAUCAAAGGAAUUUAGGAGUGCAAAGGUAUUACGCACCGCCGCAGACACUUGCUUACAGUUACGGGAACUAUGAUUUAAUGUGCCAACUUUGUCGAUAUCAUUAUGGCCCACAUAGAUGUUCACUGUAUUGCUCUCAUCCUUAUCCCAGGCAACCAUCAAAUCUUGGCGUCGGGGGCCUUCGAUCGACAAUUUAAUUAUUGGUCCCGUAAGAAAAAAAAGCAAAAAUUAUAUAUUGUAUUUCAAUAAGAAAUUUAUUUCAAAAAUGUUUAACUUGUAACAAAAAAUGUUUGUAUUGAUAUCAUAAUGAAAAGCAUAUUUGUCAAAAAUAAAUCGCCAGUACAC